GGCGCUAUAGCCAAGUGGUUACGGCGACAGAUUCGAAUCCUUCUGUAUCUGUUCCUCUUUGAGGGCGCAGGUUCAAAUCCUGCUGGCGUCG
rnacentral:tRNA from 1 species